AGUGAGGUUUUGAUUUCAGUUAUCGGUGCACACGAGCUGCUCAUUUUUAGCGCCGCUACAAAGUGGAGCUCAUCUGCUCAAUAUUUGGUAAUUUGUCUAACAUUCGCAUAGGCUUUUUUUCGCGGGUGCGUAACUGAAUUUUAGAAAAAAGAAGUUACAUUGCAAAGUUGAACGAGAAAAAACAUACUCGUCACCCAUAGUAUCGAAUUGAUAUGGGCGUAUGUAAAUAAACAAACUAGAGCCGCGCUACAGCAACAAAGACGUGUGUCAAAAUACGAAGUGUAACAUAAUUAAAAGCAGAAAAGGAUUACUACAUAAAAACGGCGGAAGUGCGGAAGUACUCGUAAAACGUCAAAAACAAAUAUCCAGUUAACGGAACUAUAUAAUUUGCAUUCUUUCGAAAAUGAGUGCGAUCGUAGAUGUAGGUAACUCUGAGAAACUGUUUGUGCCGUCUACAACAAUACUGAUACCGAAUAAUAAUAAUAAUAAUGAGCCUGGAAAAAGUCAUAUUAACAUUAAAAAUGAUGGCGCCGCUAUUAUUGAAAUUGAUAACGCAAUCGGUGCCGAUAACGAACUGUUCAACAAAAUGGCAAAUUUUGAAGAUAUCGUCCAAAGAUGCCGUACUGCAUUCGCCAGUGGAAAAACAAAAGAUGUCAAUUUCAGGCGAAAACAGUUGGAGAAUCUACUGAAAAUGUAUGAAGAACAUGAAAAUGAGAUGAUUAACGCGCUCGAUGCAGAUUUGCGGCGCCCGAAGCAAGAAAGUUUGGUGGUAGAAACAGAGUUUCUUAAAAAUGACAUCAAACACAUACUUUACAAUUUGGGAGAUUGGGUUAAACCCGAAACGCCGGAAAAAUCAUUUGUUAAUCUACUGGACGAUGUGCAAAUUUUCAAUGAUCCCUAUGGUGUGGUCCUGGUGAUCGGCGCAUGGAAUUAUCCACUACAACUGUUGUUGGUACCCGUUGCAGCUGCCAUAGCUGCUGGAAACUGCGUUGUGCUCAAGCCAAGUGAAAUUUCCACCAACUGCGCCAAAUUCAUAACGGAGAUGGUGCCGAAAUAUUUGGAUAAUGACUGCUAUCCAGUUGUGUGCGGUGGUCCAACCGAAACGGCUGAAUUGUUGAAGCAACGCUUCGAUUACAUUUUCUACACAGGCUCAACAAGAGUUGGCAAAAUUAUACACGCUGCCGCCAAUAAGUAUUUGACGCCGGUAACACUCGAAUUGGGUGGUAAAAGUCCCUGUUACAUUGAUAAAUCCGUUGAACUGCGUACGGCUGUGAAACGCAUACUCUGGGGCAAACUGAUCAAUUGCGGUCAAACGUGUAUAGCGCCCGAUUAUGUGCUGUGUUCGAAAGAAAUACAAGAGAAACUUAUUGCCGAAGCAAAAGACGUGCUCAAAGAGUGGUAUGGCGAGGAUAUCAAGAGCAGUCCAGAUCUCAGUCGUAUUAUCAAUCAUAAUAAUUUCCAACGCCUGCUUGGUCUAAUGAAAAGCGGCAAAGUCGCUGUUGGUGGUAAUUAUGAUGUCUCUGAACGUUUCAUUGAGCCCACAAUAUUAACAGAUGUUAAAGCUGAUGAUCCUAUUAUGCAAGAGGAGAUUUUCGGCCCUCUUUUGCCCAUAUUCACAGUUGAAAAUGCCUACGAUGCAAUCAAAUUCAUCAAUUCCAGGGAGAAGCCUUUAGUGAUCUACGUUUUCUCCACAAAUUCGAAUGUAGUUAAAGAAUUUAAACAAAACACAACAAGUGGCGGAUUUUGCAGUAAUGAGACCAUAUUGCACGUUGGAGUUGACACUUUGCCAUUUGGCGGUGUCGGAUCCAGUGGCAUGGGACGCUAUCAUGGUAAAUAUGGUUUUGAAACAUUCACGCAUAAGAAAUCGUGCCUUGGCAAGGAUCUGCAUCCGCUUGGCGAACUACUGGCAUCCGGUCGUUAUCCACCUUAUUCAGAUCGCAAAUCAACGAUACUGGGUAUGCUGCUGCGCAAACGUCGCCCAUUCCCCAAGCUCUAUCUGUCACACCUAUUAGCGGUCGGUUUGGGUAUCGGCCUCACAGUACUCUUCACCCAUUAUUUACAGGGCAAAUUAUUUUCACGCUAAAAAAGCUUGUUUGACGUCCGUUAAUUCAGUGAUUGCCUCCACGGCCACUACGGCCACCACAUACCUAAGCAUUGAUUGAGUGAUUACGAUAAGAAAUGAUAGAAAUGUUCUUGCAUAAAACAAACACAAAAUUAUCUGUAAUCAAUAAAUGCUGAAGCAAGGAGAUGACUUAAAUAUA
rnacentral:misc_RNA from 1 species